rnacentral:rRNA from 1 species
AUGGAGCUUUUGUCACAUGAAAUGUUUGUCAAACUUUCAGUUACAUUGUGGGCGAUCUGGACAUCUCGUCGGAAGGCUAUUCACGAAGGCAUAUUUCAAAGCCCUCAUGCUACACACUCCUUUGUCAACAGAUAUAUUGAAGAACUUGAAAUGAUUUCUGGGAAGGAAGAGACGAGGCGAACAGAACCUCCAAUGCAGGGACGAGCGCCGAGACCUAGUCGACCACCCACGGGAUUUCAUAAAAUCCAUGUGGAUGCAGCGACAUGCCAAGGUAGAGGUGGAGCUGUUUCAGCUGUGUGCAGAGAUGGCAACGACAACUUCGUCGGCAGCUCAGCUCUGGUGAUAGUAGGUGUUCAGGACCCAACAACACUUGAAGCCAUCGCGGUGAGGGAGGCUCUAUCACUUGCAACGGAUAUGCAUAUUCAAAACGUGGUGGUCUCUUCGAAUUGCAAGCAAGUAAUCAUGGAUAUAAAGAACGAUACAGAUGGAAGAUAUGGAGCGAUCAUCAAGGAAAUCAAGAUCCAAUCAACUUUUUUCAAUUGUAAUUUUAUUUUUGGAAGUCGUAGAGUCAACGUUGAGGCUCAUAAACUAGCCAAGUAUUCUAUUACUCUUGGUCCGGGACGGCACGUUUGGUUUGGCCAAUCCCAUGACCAAAGAUGUAUGCCACACUCUGUGGUCUAUGAUGAAUAA